AGGGGUAUAGCUCAGUUGGUAGAGUCGCUGUCUCCAAAACAGUUGGUCGUGGGUUCAAGUCCUUCUGCCCCUGCCA
rnacentral:tRNA from 1 species